UAUGGAUUUGUGUGACUGACAUUUGGUUGCUUUACAAAAAGCACCUAAAGCUGGAAGUCAAAAUCAGAACUAAAUCGUGCUAAGCAUUACAUAUGGCGCAUUUUUUCCUUAAUAAAUCUGUUGAUGUAUUUUUGUAGGUGAUAGAUUAACAUAAAAAUCCUGCCAGUCUGUUCCAGGGUCGUAAAACACAGAACAAGCUGUGGCCAGGCUAGCGAGGGAUACAGACCACGGUGCCUGCGGGAAGAAAUGGGAGCGGACAGAAGCGCGCUGGCAGAUGCCCCGCCGGUGCCACGGGUUGCAGCGCCCAGCAGGGUCCGGAACAAAAGCUGCAUUUUGUUACGGGUCCCAAGCAGAAAAACCUUACUGAGAGGUAAAUCAGGAGUCAUCUGGUCCUCCUUGCGUCUGGCUUGUUCCUCCACACCUGCAAAAGCCAGCA